AGUUUGGGUAUUGAUAUAUUGGCUCAAUAUGUUUCGAAUGUGUGAAAAAAAUAAUUAACAUUUCCAUAAGUUUGUUCGGAAAGAUUAAAAAAACAUUUAAUACUUUGUGGUCUGAAAAGUCAAUGCAUUAGUGUCUUGAGCAAAAUAAAAAAAUGAACCGACAACACAUUUCGAUAUGUCCAAAGCCGAUUCUUCUUCUUCUCUGUUCGAAACUAAGAAGUUCAAUUCUUACUCAACUUCUUCGAUCUAUGAGCUGAUUUUCCAAACGCUUCUGUUGAUCUAUGACCGUUUUUACAUCCAAUCCUAGCUAAAAUCGGAACCUUUCUUUAGGAGCUUAUAUCGGCUACCAGAGGAGGUCCUGACCAAGGUCCGUCCCAGCCACAGCAGCGACAGAUCGUACGGAACUCAGACGCUGGUAACCUCGGAGAAUCAUUCGACAGUGAAGUUGUGUUUGCUUAUCUCCGUAAGCUCGUCGAGAUUGCCCUUAUUAUCCGUGUUGUUAAUGAGGUCGAACCUAGCAACCCUAGAGUUGCUUAUCUCUGUCGGUUUUAUGCAUUCGAGAAAGCUCACAGGCUGGAUCCCACUUCCAGUGGGAGAGGUGUUCGACAGUUUAAGACUGCUCCUAUACAGCGUCUUGAAAGAGAACAUGAUCCAACGAUGAUGGGGAGGGUUAAGAAAAGUGAUGCCCGUGAGAUGCAAAGCUUUUAUCAGCAUUACUAUAAGAAGUAUAUCCAAGCUUUGCAGAAUGCUGCUGAUAAGGCUUACCGGCUCAGCUGACAAAGGCGUACCAAACUGCCAAUGUUUUGAUGCGUUGACUUGCUUCCAGGUGUGGAUCGUUUUGACCUGAAUACAACAGUCGCUUGUGCGAGGCUUCAACAGUGAAAGGUUUAUGUUUUGGAAUGGGAGCUUUUGCUGAAUUAUGGAGAUGAACUGAAGAUGGUGACGUUUUUAUGGGAUAGUUAUAUUGAUAUUUUUUUGGUUCAGGUUUAUGUUUUGGAAGGGUAGUUUUUGCUGAAUUAUGGAGAGAACUGAAGAUGGUGACGUUUUUAUAGGAUAGUUAUAUUUUUAUAAAUGAUAGAAUAUUAGAUAUAGUUUUUCUUUUCCAAAUCGUUGGAUAGUUAGUCAGAUUAGUAUGUAGAGGUAGUUAAGUUGGUCCUUUUUUUGAUUGUCACGUUUGCUCUUACUGAAUUUUAAAAAUUUAGGCAAAUCAAUAAUGGCAUAAAAAGUAAUAUGCCAGGUAAAAGUGAGGGCAAAUCUAAAAAAAGGAUCCUGAAUUAAUAGU